CACAGAAGAGAAGUCACAGGAGGUUUCAGCGGCAGACUGUCCUGGCAACCAGGAGUCAGAACUUACUGACAUGCAACCACGUCGUUCACAGAGGGAGAG